CAUCACCUUUUGGGUCCAUUUCAAGCUCCCCCUCCUUGUCCUGCCUAUUUUUGACACCACUUAUACUGCCUUUCACUUGACACCACUUUUGAAGUUGUGUAGCUGGUGCCUCCGGGCCUAGAAUUUUUUCAUUUUCCAAAUGUGAUCUUUUUUCCAAAUUUAUACCUCCACCUUCUUCCAAUCCCGUGUUCCUUCUCUCUUCAUCAGGUGGAGUAAUCGAUGGGAUGGAUACCUUGUUUUUCCUUUUGAGUUGCUGCUUCCCUAAUCCCUGACUUUUGUGCUUGUUGCCCAGCACCAUACAGUCCACCUCUCUUUGCCCAACAUGGCAGCAAUGAUGACAAUAUGCUAACAUUGGCUAGAACUCCACUUUUUGCAAAUAUCCGCCAAUUACCUCACCAGUUUCUCUGUUUUGGAUCAUUAUCCAAACUUGGUCCACAGUUGGCUUCCUACAAUCAUAUUCAACGCAGACUCUUGCCACACUCAGCCGAGAGCCUUUGGCAGUAGCUUCAUCAAUAAAUAAAGGCCUACCAACAGUCUUAGCAAUUAAAAGUAACAUUGAUUUUUCAUAUAGGUGAGCCUUUAAGUUAGGGAAAGAGAUCCAUACGGGCACCACCGAGGAUUCCUUCUCCACUUCGAAUUUCAGGGACCACUUGAACACUCUCAUUUUCUAAUUGGCAAUAAACCAUUGUUAUUUAGUCUAGAUUCGGUUGAAGUCCUGGUCAUUUGAGAAGUGUAU
rnacentral:lncRNA from 1 species